AAAUACAUCAACAAAGCAAAGUCAAGUAAUCAUAAAAAUAUGAACGGCUCUUUAACAGUAGAAGGGAGGGAGAAAGCUGAGCGUGGUUAAUUUAUACAUGGAAUGUAUGAAGUUGUUUCAGAGAGGCAAGAAAUUAUUUGCCUCUCUGAGUCUUCCUGGAAACAGUCUCCCUGGAGGAGGUAGAUUUGAGUAUUGAAAGGAGCAUUCUAGGCAGGCAGAAGGCAUGAGUGGAAUCACAGAGGUGGUGAAAGAUCCAUGAGAGUGAGAUGAGUAAGCCAGGCUGGCUGAUGUGAGGUUUUGGGAUGGUGAAUAAUUGGAGACUGUGCUGGAAAUAGCUAGUGCAUUGGACUCCAGAGGGUCUUAAUUGGUGGGACAGGAGCUUCUGCAUGCACCAUGAAAGACCUGCUCUGACACAGUGAAAAUCUCUGCAUCUCCCUUUCCCACUGAGUCAUCUUAGGCUUCCCUCUCUGCUUUUCCCUUGAAGCCAGGAGUCCAUUCCCAGUGGGCAGGCCCAUCCUUCCUGAAAUCCAGCACAAGAUGAGGCCUGGUAGGUGAGUGUGCAGGGCCAUGGUGCAGACUCCUCCAAGCUCAUCAUUACUCCAGCUUGGUCAGGGUCUGUUUGGAAAAUGGAGUGGUGACAUCCUCUUGCCUCAGGAUGUGUGGAAGCUCCUUCCAUGUAUACAGUAGAAACAGAGCAUCUCUGAUCCUUUAUUACCCCCAGAACCCACUCUCCUGGCUCCUGGCCGAAGGGCCUGAGAAGCAAUUGUAAAAUUGGGAGCUUGCCCAAAGGACCAGUACUAUAUAAAGAUUCAUUUCAAACCCUGAGCAAGGCGUUACGGAUGCAGACCUGAUAAUGAGCCAUUAUGAGAAAAUGAAAAGCACAGACUUUGUGGUGGUGCCCUCAGAGCUAAGUAAUUCUGGAGAGUAAUUAUGAAGCAGAAGAAUGAUUAUACAAACUGCAGACUAAACAUUUAGGCCCUGUGUGUGAGGCCAGCUGACAAAGCAGAGGUAAUUAAUAGGCAGUUACAAUGUGGAAGAUUCUGGAAAGUAGAGUUCUGUUGUCUGAAAUUUAGUCUGACAGAGGAAUAUUAGCAAGAUAAAUGUAUUUGGACCAAGCACUCCCGAGAGGAAGGGCAUGCUCAAAUUGUUUCUGUAAAAAGUCUCUGGCGGUGUUUGGCUCCCUUCUGCGUCCUUCAUGAAACAGUUCUCCUUGAGUAUUACGGUUGGCAAGCAUGUGGGUGGGGGAGAUGUCACACGCACCCGCUCCAGCUGUACAAGCAAGCCACUGCGAGGAUUAGACGCUUGUUAGUUAUGAACUUAGGUGUCUGGUCUGUUUCUUUGCCUUUCAAAGGCACUUCCUGGCAGAGAGGUACAAUGGUGCUUUGCAGGAAACCCUGUGCCCACAGCAUCUGUUCUGCAGCUUGGCAGACCGCAGCUGGCCCUGAGCAUGGCCUACUAAUUCUCUGGGUCAGGUGUGGCUGUGGUGAGAUGGAUCUCAGCCAGAUAUGUAUUCUGCAAUCAUGACCAAACAGAAGGACUAAAUCUGGAUCAGAAUCUGAAAUGUAAAAAGGCUACUUGUCAACCACGCCAUUGUUUUCCGUUGGAGCUAGCAGAGCAGCCUCGGCUGCACAUUCCUGGGACGUGAAUAAUAUCGGUUGUGAUUACACUUCAGUAUCUCAUCCAUUACCAGCCCUGUGAACACUGAAUAUAACCUAAUUAGGAAAUGCGAAGGGCCCUUUGCUAGGGAUGAGUGCUGGGGCAGCAGAGGUCCACAUGCCUUCCCGACACAGGGAUUCACCGGGUUUCAGACACAGGUUUGGAUCCUGCAGGGCUCAAGGACAGACUUUACUGGUCUAGUCCACAUUCCUUGUAUAAUCACCAGUAAGCUGAGAAUGUGACACCUUGGAUUCCAUCCUAUGUUACACUCCUCUUUAAAUGCAUUGCAAAGGAGAUAUGCCAGGACUGAUAAGUCAGUCAAUUUCAAAUAGGUAUUAAAGUAUUAAUGAAGUGAUUAACUCUCUCUGACUAAAACAUUUUUUUGUUUACUGGUUUCUACUGGCCUUGAAUAGGAAUUUCAAAUUUGUUGUUGACAAUUGGCUUCUCAUCUUUCACUGAAUUCUUCUAAGCUUGUUUGUCUUUUCCUACACAGCUCUUAAAAUGCUUUCAGAGGACUGAAUUCUAUCUUCCAAAGUGCAGAGAACAGAGCACUAAGGAUGUCUGCAGGCUUAAUUACAAAGGAUGUGAUUCUAUUCUUAUUGUUCCAUAACUUUUCUUUGUAGUAAAAGCUGCUGCAUUCAUUUAUUCAAUCCUCUGUCCCUGCAUUCAUCUGACACUUGCUGAGCACCUGCUAUAGCACAGAUUCACGUCAUGCCCAUGGCUGGCAUCCAGCAUUUAUAGGGUAACUGGCAGGAGAAAAGAAGAGGCCUGUGGCCAUGAGGCAGUGAGAUGGAGUCACCUGCUCUGGGAGUCAGCACCCCGCCACUCACACAGAGCCCAGCCAACUGAGCUAACUGAUAAGUCAACCUUAAUUCUGCUCUAAAAUAUUUUUCAUCAAACCACCCUCUGCUGAAUCAAUGUACAUUCCUAUAACCUGUAUCUUGCCCUAGUAAUGUGUGACCUUCAAUGUCAUGGUCCAAGGUUUUGCUGCUGGGACAUGUGGUCUCGGAAUGAUCAUCAGAAUCCUUCACUACAUGCUCUAAACCAUCAUUAGAUGCUCUACAGUUUGUCACUUGUUUCCAAGUGUCCUAUGUCCACCUCAUUUUAUAGAACUGGGCUUCACUUGAGUUCUCAUUCUGGGUACCUAGUAUAUUUCCCUGCAAUUCUAAUUGCUGGGUUCUCUCCCCAGGGAAUGGAGCCUGGCUUUGGCAUAGAUCUCCAUGAAGUACUGGGAUUUCAGAUGGCACCCACUCAAUUUUGUUCACCCAGCUCUGACCAUGAACGAACCAUUCUGCUACUUCUGCCUUCUAACCUGGUGUUUGCCUGCAUUUUAUCUGGACAUUGCUCAAUUGUCUUGGUUGCUAUGUCCCACCUGCUUGUCUGAAUUUCUGUUGUUACUCCAGUCCCUGCCUGUCCCUGCAACUUCACACCCACUCCCACCCCCAUUUGUCUUGAUGUCAAUGCCUUACUGAAAAAUCUUGAAAUUUGAUAGGGAGGAUAGUGGUGGCAUUAUUAUUAUGACUACUGCCUUACUCUUUAGAAAACUGAGGCUCAGAGGAUUAAGUGACUUGGCCAAUUACAUGUCUAAUAAAUAGCAGAAUACUGCCCAAGGUAAUUUAUAGAUUCAGUGCCAUCCCUGUCAAGCUACCAAUGACUUUCUUCACAGAAUUGGAAAAAACUACUUUAAAGUUCAUAUGGAACCAAAAAAGAGUGCACAUUGCCAAGUCAAUCCUAAGCCAAAAGAACAAAGCUGGAGGCAUCACACUACCUGACUUCAAACUAUACU
rnacentral:lncRNA from 10 species